rnacentral:rRNA from 1 species
AGAGUUUGAUCCUGGCUCAGGAUGAACGCUAGCUACAGGCUUAACACAUGCAAGUCGAGGGGAAACGACAUCGAAAGCUUGCUUUUGAUGGGCGUCGACCGGCGCACGGGUGAGUAACGCGUAUCCAACCUGCCCACCACUUGGGGAUAACCUUGCGAAAGUAAGACUAAUACCCAAUGAUAUCUCUAGAAGACAUCUGAAAGAGAUUAAAGAUUCAUCGGUGAUGGAUGGGGAUGCGUCUGAUUAGCUUGUUGGCGGGGUAACGGCCCACCAAGGCAACGAUCAGUAGGGGUUCUGAGAGGAAGGUCCCCCACAUUGGAACUGAGACACGGUCCAAACUCCUACGGGAGCGAGCA